UUCUCUUCAUAUGAUACUUUGCUUUUCUUGUUUCACAGCUAAAACUGGCCUGUUGUGGCUGGGUGUGAUGUAGCAGCACUACAGCCAGGAGUGGUGGAAUGUGGCUGAAGACCUUUCAGAAACUGUGCAGCAUGUCUGUUCCUCAGCAAAAGCAGCAUUUCUGCCGUGCUGAAGCCUUCAAACAACCCCACAAACUGCUAAUGCACCUGCUCAGCAGUGUGCUGAAAUGGCAGGAAUGAAUAAUAAAUGCCCUGCCUCCUUCAUAA